rnacentral:rRNA from 1 species
UGGGCCUACGGGGGGCAGCAGUGGGGGAUAUUGCACAAUGGGGGGAACCCUGAUGCAGCGACGCCGCGUGGGUGAAGAAGCGCCUCGGCGCGUAAAGCCCUGUCAGCAGGGAAGAAAAUGACGGUACCUGACUAAGAAGCCCCGGCUAACUACGUGCCAGCAGCCGCGGUAAUACGUAGGGGGCAAGCGUUAUCCGGAUUUACUGGGUGUAAAGGGAGCGUAGACGGAGGAGCAAGUCUGAUGUGAAAAUCCGGGGCCCAACCCCGGAACUGCAUUGGAAACUGUUUAUCUAGAGUGUCGGAGAG